AGAGGAUGUAUAGGGUGUGACGCCUGCCCGGUGCUCGAAGGUUAAUUGAUGGGGUUAGCAUUAGCGAAGCUCUUGAUCGAAGCCCGAGUAAACGGCGGCCGUAACUAUAACGGUCCUAAGGUAGCGAAAUUCCUUGUCGGUUAAAUACCGACCUGCAUGAAUGGCGUAACGAGAUGGGAGCUGUCUCAAAGAGGGAUCCAGUGAAAUUGUAGUGGAGGUGAAAAUUCCUCCUACCCGCGGCAAGACGGAAAGACCCCGUGGACCUUUACUACAGCUUGACACUGCUACUUGGAUAAGAAUGUGCAGGAUAGGUGGGAGGCUUUGAGUAUAUGACGCCAGUUGUAUAGGAGCCAUUGUUGAGAUACCACUCUUUCUUAUUUGGGUAGCUAACCAGCUUGAGUUAUCCUCAAGUGGGACAAUGUCUGGUGGGUAGUUUGACUGGGGCGGUCGCCUCCCAAAUAAU
rnacentral:rRNA from 1 species